AACGCACCUUGCGCUCCUUGGUAUUCCGAGGAGCAUGCCUGUUUGAGUGUCUUGAAGUCAUCAACCCCUCCCGUUUCGUGCGGAGAGGUGCGUUGGAACUGGGGGCUUGCGGUCGAGAGGCCGCUCCCCUCAAAUGCUUCGGUUGGGCCUGCGGGUCGAACUCGGUUCGGGCGUUGUAACCACCUCGCUCUCCUCCGAGACGUUCCCUGCCAUCGUGCCCCUCCACGACCGCCUAUCGAGCGGUGGUCAAAACAACUCUGAAAUCUGACCUCAAAUCAGGUAGGACUACCCGCUGAACUUAA
rnacentral:misc_RNA from 1 species